CCUGGACAUAAUAUAUAAAACACAAACACAAGAAGAUUCUAAACAGUUGAGAGAUGAAGGGGGGCAAGGAGCCUCUGGACAUGAGGAAUGACAUGACAAUGAGUUACCCGUGUUUUCUUUUUGUCCCCUGUGUAUUGUAGGCCAUGUGCUAGAUAAGAAUAUAAUCUAGAAACGCCAAUCCCAAGGAUUUUCUGUUCUCUCCUGCCAAAAGACUGGAAAGGGGACUGCUGGAAUAGAAGCCUUUAAACAAUAAUCACCAUAUUCUAGCCAAACAUCAUGUGGAAAUAUGGGACACCACCCCCCCGCCAACAGCAAAGGCCAAGUGGAAAACCUAUAUUUAAACCCCCCACCCCACCCCUUGGCAGUAAGGAAUCAUCCCUCCCCACUCCCCACUCCCCACUGGGGUGGCAUCAGAAGAGGCUAAGUAGGAAGACUGAACAUGCACUCCCUCCCUGAAGCAAUGAGGCACUCCUCCCAAUUCUUGCUUUGGGUGGUGUCAGAAAAGGCCAAAUGGAGGGUCUGGAUUUUUACCACUGCUCAGCAGUAAUGUGGUCCCCUAC
rnacentral:lncRNA from 10 species